rnacentral:tRNA from 1 species
GGCCAACAUGGUGUAGUGGUUUGAGUGCUAGACAAUGCCUCUGGAGACCAGGGUUCAAAUCCCUGCUCAGCCA